rnacentral:lncRNA from 1 species
CUUGAUGAGGUUGCUUCAUUCAAUCUCGUGGGAUGUGUGGAUAGAGGGCCAUCCCAGGAUACGAGCAUGGAGGACUCAUUUGGAGGACCCGCAGCUGCAAUUCAAGAAGAUGUGUUUACAAGGGCACUAAGGCAGCUGGAGCUUCAAUCGGAUUUUGGUUAAGAGGUUCUCUUAGUCGGGCUGGCGACUUAAAAACUAGCGCUGCAUGGGAGGCAACCCAUGUUUUCUUGCUUUUUCUUGUUUCAUUUUUCUUUCGUUUUGUUUGUGUUGUGUUUUGUUGCUUCUGCUGUUUGGUGCAGGUUGUUGCGUUGGAGACUGCUUGUUCUAUGGAUGAGAGAGAGGCAGACAUCGUGGGACACUACAGACUCACCACUGGAUCGAUAUUUAGGGAAGUUUCCUCUUUCACCUCUCUUUUUGUUUGCACUGAGGACAGUGCCAGAUUUUAAGUGUGGGGGGGGUGUUUGUUGG